GCUCAGUGGAGAUUCUCCAGCAGCACAUCCCGUCAACAGGGCCCAAACUCCAAGUCUGGGAUGGAUUAAAGAACAUUCCAGGCCCAUCCAGAUACAGCUCAGAGUGUGCCAUUUACUCUUCCAGCUUCUCCUCAUCUCAUACUCUUCCAGCCUCCAAAGUUUUCUCUUUUUCCAAGCAGAUGGUUGACCUGAUGUUCCCCAGCACAAGCUGUUCAGAAUUUAUUUUAAUUAUUUAUUAUUUACUUUUUUUUGGUGUGUUUCAUGGCUGCUCAUGGAGCAAGGGCCCAUCCCAAACUGGAGAUGUCUAACCCAUGCUGAUUUCUUGAACCUGCUCCCUUCUCCUUGAGUCAGAGAAGGGAUCCGAAGAGGGGAGACCCUCAGAGAAGCCUUGGAGAUAUAGCUAAAGGUGAAUUACUCUACAGACAAAGCCGAAAGCAUGGUUGCCGUCGACCUGGAAAAACACCAUUUCCACGCAGCCACAAAGCUGACGUUUGCCGCCUCCAACCUCACGCAGGUCACUGAGCUGAUGCACACUAUCCCCCAGCUCAAGAUCAUCCCCUGGGAAAUGGUGCUCCUGACUGUGUACCAGAAGGCCAAAGGAACGAGGACCUUCCAGCAGUUGGUACUGUGGGAUGGCCAAGAGGUCAAGUUCACUGGCAGCUACACGGGGCUCUUUCCCAAGUUCUCCAGGGGCCAGCACAUGCAGCUGGAACUCGUCCAUCCUCUCUCCAUCCCUUUUCCUCAGCAUUCCAAGGUCACCAUGUCCUUGCUACACUCAGUCCACAGCCAUCAAGAUAAUUUAGUCAUUGAAUGGAACAACAAGGAGCAGGUGAUGCUCUCCUCCUCUUUAAAACUGGGGAAGGAUCAAAUGGAGGGCCAGGUGGCAUUUGUUCAUCCCUUCAACUUCUCCUGGAGCCACGUGGAAGCCAGAGGCUUGGCAGAAAAGAGAGCGAACAGAUAUAGCCAACAGGUGAGAUUGCAAACAUUCCCAAGUUGGUGCAACGAUGGGUUGGGAGGAGGUAAAGGGGACAGAAAUGGAUUUCAAGGGGCAGUUGGGUGACUCAGUGGAUCAGAGCCAGGUUUAGAGAUGGGAGAUCCUAGGUUCAAAUCUGGCCUCAAACACUUCCUAGCUGUGUGACCCUGGUCAAGUCACUUAACCCCCAUUGCCUAGUCUUUACUACUGCUUCUACUUUGGAACCAAUAUUUAGUACUGAUUCUAAGAUGGAAGCUAAGGUUUAUUUUUAAUGGAUUUCAAUCUUUUUCUACCUGAAAUCAAGAGGAAUAAAAGAACAGCCAUACUUCA
rnacentral:lncRNA from 1 species